rnacentral:rRNA from 1 species
AGAGUUUGAUCCUGGCUCAGGAUGAACGCUAGCGGCAGGCUUAACACAUGCAAGUCGAGGGGCAGCAUAAUGGAUAGCAAUAUCUAUGGUGGCGACCGGCGCACGGGUGCGUAACGCGUAUGCAACCUACCUUUAACAGGGGGAUAACACUGAGAAAUUGGUACUAAUACCCCAUAAUAUCAUAGAAGGCAUCUUUUAUGGUUGAAAAUUCCGAUGGUUAGAGAUGGGCAUGCGUUGUAUUAGCUAGUUGGUGAGGUAACGGCUCACCAAGGCGACGAUACAUAGGGGGACUGAGAGGUUAACCCCCCACACUGGUACUGAGACACGGACCAGACUCCUACGGGAGGCAGCAGUGAGGAAUAUUGGUCAAUGGACGCAAGUCUGAACCAGCCAUGCCGCGUGCAGGAUGACGGCUCUAUGAGUUGUAAACUGCUUUUGUACUAGGGUAAACUCACCUACGUGUAGGUGACUGAAAGUAUAGUACGAAUAAGGAUCGGCUAACUCCGUGCCAGCAGCCGCGGUAAUACGGAGGAUUCAAGCGUUAUCCGGAUUUAUUGGGUUUAAAGGGUGCGUAGGCGGUUUGAUAAGUUAGAGGUGAAAUGUUAGGGCUCAACCCUGAAACUGCCUCUAAUACUGUUGGACUAGAGAGUAGUUGCGGUAGGCGGAAUGUAUGGUGUAGCGGUGAAAUGCUUAGAGAUCAUACAGAACACCGAUUGCGAAGGCAGCUUACCAAACUAUAUCUGACGUUGAGGCACGAAAGCGUGGGGAGCAAACAGGAUUAGAUACCCUGGUAGUCCACGCAGUAAACGAUGAUAACUCGUUGUCGGCGAUACACAGUCGGUGACUAAGCGAAAGCGAUAAGUUAUCCACCUGGGGAGUACGUUCGCAAGAAUGAAACUCAAAGGAAUUGACGGGGGCCCGCACAAGCGGAGGAACAUGUG